rnacentral:antisense_RNA from 1 species
GGGGUGGACACCUCCAGAGACCUCACUCACCUGUGAUUUGGGGGAUAAUAGCAUCACUCAUGGGUUCACGUGCCAGGCCUGUCACCCCGGAACAUUAGUCAAAGGGCUGUGUUGACAGUGAUUUCAACUCUUGAAUUAUACGAAGGACCUGGCCGCAAGAAGGUAUUGAGCCCUGAGGAGGACAACAGGCCUCAGACCUCUCCAGAGUCCGAUGUCCUUCUGCACAAGUCCUUGUUGUCCAGUCUGUGGCCCAAACACCCACAGGGCAUGGUGGAGGCCUGAGACAGUGCUGGUUUUGCUGGGGCCAUCAGAAAAGCUUACGAAGCAGGCUUGGCCAUUGGCUGGAAGUCACUGGCCCCUGCUGGGCUCAUGCAAUACUCAUGGAACUGGUGUGGGCUCCUGCGGGUUCCCUAUGAGCAAUGCCUCACCCAUUUAAAGCUCAUCAAAGGACUUGUUCAAUA